UACGAAGGGGGCUAGCGUUGCUCGGAAUCACUGGGCGUAAAGGGUGCGUAGGCGGGUUCUUAAGUCAGAGGUGAAAUCCUGGAGCUCAACUCCAGAACUGCCUUUGAUACUGAGAGUCUUGAGUAUGGGAGAGGUGAGUGGAACUGCGAGUGUAGAGGUGAAAUUCGUAGAUAUUCGCAAGAACACCAGUGGCGAAGGCGGCUCACUGUCCCAUAACUGACGCUGAGGCACGAAAGCGUGGGGAGCAAACAGG
rnacentral:rRNA from 1 species